rnacentral:snoRNA from 1 species
AGUCUUUUACUUAGCGGGCAGUGGGUAUGUGGCCCUGGUCCCUGUAAUGUCAGAGGUAGAAGGAAAGGGCUCUGGCUCCCAUGGUGCCAUGUCUUCAGUAUUACCAGUUCCUCAUCUGUGGGUUCUAUCCUCAAGGGCUGGGAUACAG